AUCGCUUCUCGGCCUUUUGGCUAAGAUCAAGUGUAGUAUCUGUUCUUAUCAGUUUAAUAUCUGAUACGUCCUCUACCCGAGGACCAUAUAUUAAUCUGAUUUUUGGAACAGGGAGACGGAAGAGGGGCUUGCUCCGUCCGCUCCACGGGGGCAGCCGUGGCCUACUGGUUAGCACUUCGGACCU